GGGUUAGUAGGUUGGUCAUGCCUCUGGUAUGUACUGGUCUCACUGAUUCCUCCUUCCUGAUGAGCCGUAAUGCCAUUAAUUUGGUGUUGUGGGGAAUCAGGACUGUUACUUUGAAAAAAUUAGAGUGUUUAAAGCAGGCCCACGCUUGAAUACAUUAGCAUGGAAUAAUGAAAUAGGACGUUUGAUCCUAUUUUGUUGGUUUCUAGGAUUGACGUA
rnacentral:rRNA from 1 species